UUCGGUUAAGUUAUGAAGGGCGCACGGUGGAUGCCUUGGCACUAGGAGCCGACGAAGGACGGGACUAACACCGAUAUGCUUUGGGGAGCUGUAAGUGAGCUUUGAUCCAGAGAUUUCCGAAUGGGGGAACCCAUUGUUCGUAAUGGAACAAUAUCCUUACUUGAAUACAUAGAGUAUGGAAGGCAGAC
rnacentral:rRNA from 1 species